AAAAUGACGAUGACAGGGAAUAGUAAGCUGAUCCUCAGGCUAUAGAGAACCGCUGUUUGGUGUGAGGCGGUCGAAGAGGCAAGUGGAACUCACCCUGGAGUUGCCGACCGAAAUCAUUUUAGAAAGUAGGCUCGGACGGAACUUCAACCGUUAAAAUGAAGGGGAUAUCGGAUCUUAAGAUCCCGCAUCCUGAUGGAGUGAACGGCAUUAGCCGUUAAUUUGAGUGGUACCGCGGAGUUUAACCCUUCGUCUCAGAG
rnacentral:ncRNA from 1 species